CCCAAAUCUGUGACUCACUUUAUUGCUAUAGUUGCUUUAUUUGUGCAUGUGAGAGCUCCAAGAACUCCAGUUUAUUUUGGAGCAUCAAUAUGCCAUCUUAAGAAGAAACUUGCAGCCUCAUUUUAGUCAGAAGUCAUCAUCUGACACAGUUCUGGCCAAGGAGAUUGGACUGAAGCCUGGAGGUGAGACAGCCUUUUUUCACCAUUCGACAAACAAGAUGACAGCUACUAGCUACAGAUGGUGAUGCAACAAGAUGAAAGAAGCCUGGGGUACUGGUGACACCAGUCCUGGGCUGCCUGCCUCCAGGCUCCUUUUUUGUGUCUUCUUCUAUGAAAGCCCGUGUAAGAGAAUAAAGAUCUUGAAGACAAGGACCAUGACUCCAUCCAUCCUGCUUGGGUUUCUCCUCCGGGAUCUCGUGCAGCACCUGGCACUUAGCAGUCAUUGCACAGGCCGUGGACAUCUAUAACAACAGUUAAAAAGUUAGCUUAUCACAAGGGCUUCAUAGGCAUUGCGAUCAGGGGCUGCAGAAGAACGGGGCUCCCAAAAGGGGGGCUACUUCCCCAGCUUCCGCUUGAGUUGGUGUGGCUGUGUCAUUGAGUCUAGUCAGUGGGACAUGCUAUAUGCGCUUCCAGUCCUGGCACACAGGAACCUUCCAUGUGUGGUCAUGGACACUCUUUUCUUCUCCAUGGGCUUGAUGCAGACAAGCAUGGUGGCUGUGGAAGCCAGCUGGGGACGAUGGCAGAGGCAAAAGAGGGAAGCAGGCUGUGCCCUGUAUUUCAGUUUGGAAGGCAAAUACCAAGGGAGCUGCUUGCUCUUCAGGAUCACUCAUUUUUGACCUUGCGUAAGUGAGAAAUAAGAUUCUAUCUUUUUUGAGCCAUUAUACAUUUGGGGGUCUUUUUUUAAAACUGUAGUUUGCUGUGUAAGGCAGUUGGAAUUUUGUAAUUUAGCAGACUGAUACCAUGACAUUAGUGUUGUUUUGAACUGGUUACACUUUUCAGUUUUAGGGGGAAGGAUGUUUGUAAAUAUAAAUGACUAUUAAAUUAGCUUUCUUUUUAUUUAUAUACCCGUAUACAAAGGUGGAUGAACCAAGUUAAUUGAAUAUCAUAAAAACCAUGUUCUGAUUUGAAUAGUUUAUUUGAAUCUGUUUUAUUUAGAAUGUUAAAAACCCAUUUUAUUUAGAAUGUACUUAGUUUUACCAGUGA